rnacentral:rRNA from 1 species
CAAAGGUUUGGUCCUAGCCUUCCUAUUGAUUAUUAACAGAAUUACACAUGCAAGUCUCUACACCCCAGUGAGAAUGCCCUCUAAAUCUAUAUGUUGAUUAAAAGGAGCGGGUAUCAAGCACACUAAAUUAGUAGCUCAUAACGCCUUGCUCAACCACACCCCCACGGGAUACAGCAGUGAUAAAAAUUAAGCCAUAAACGAAAGUUUGACUAAGCCAUGUUAACAAAGAGCUGGUAAAUUUCGUGCCAGCCACCGCGGUCAUACGAUUAGCCCGAAUCAAUAGGCAAACGGCGUAAAACGUGUUAAGGAUUAUAUUAUACUAAAGUUAAAAUUUGACAAGGCUGUAAAAAGCUACUGUUAAUAUAAGAUAAACCACGAAAGUGACUUUAUUACUUCCAUCAACACGAUAGCUGAGACCCAAACUGGGAUUAGAUACCCCACUAUGCUCAGCCCUAAACAUAAAUAAUUAUCACAACAAAAUUAUCUGCCAGAGAA